ensembl:lncRNA
GUGCACAUAAAAUAUUCACAAAAUAAAAGUUUAAUAGUAAAUUAAAUCACACAUAUACUUGAUCUGGAUGACAAUUAUUGAGAUCAGGCAUCGAAAAGGUGACACUUGGCUUCAUACAGUUAAUGUUGCACAUACGCAAGGCAAAUGCAAUUUGAUGGGUUGUUAUAGUGCACAUCAGAAAUACAGCAAUAAACAUAAAAUGAUGAUUAGUCACUACAGAGGUUAUAACAGACCAGAGCAAUAUUCAGUUUCAAGAGAAAUAAAAAGGAGAACAAGCCAGACCAUUAAAAAAUGUGUAUGGGUCUUAGGGAUGGGGGACAAGAACAUAUUGUUUUAGUAAAAGCAAAGAAAACAUGAAAUGCUUAAUAAGACAAGUAAACAUGGUAGGCAGUGACAGGAUGUGACAGUUCUGCAGUGGAAAAUGUGCUCUGUGGGUUCACUGGUCACUGCAGACAAAAGCACAAAACUGUAUUUGAAUACGUGACAUGACCUUCCUUUACGUGUUGAAUUUAGAUGACCUGUGCUGGCAUUCACACUUUGAAUAGUUGAUCUUCAUAUUCCUUUUUUAUUUUUUAUUUUUUUAUUUUUUUUUAGGCAGCAUUACUAAAAAAUGUAAAUAUGUGGACAUGAUCAAUGCAAACUGUAUUCUGUGUAAAUGACAAUGUGAUUUUUACGUCCAAUACUCUUCUAUUGUAUAAAAGUGUAUUCUCAUCUGCUGUCUUAGGCAUUGCCCUCUGUCUUCAUCUCUUCCUUUACUAGUUCAGUCUCUACAGCACGUCUGCAAGCCUUCGAGAUCCUGAGCGGAGAGUAAAACAGUUUACACUCCUUCACAGCCCUUAAACUGAGUGUCCUGUUAUGGCCAGUUUUCAGACCAGGAUUCUUCGUCUGCAUCUCUGUGUUGUUAUUAUUCUCCUGACUCAUGCAGAUUAUUCAAAAUCUAAUCAAGAGCAAAGGAUUCAGCAGCACAUCAACAAAACAGUGUUUGUGGGGGAAACAGUUACACUUCACUGCAACAAAACCCAACUUGAUGAUGAUUUCACAUGGAAAAUGAACAACUCUGUUAUUUUUAGGCAGGUCUCUUAUUUUAACAUAACUAAGACAAACUUCAGCUCCAACAGGAUUCACAUCGACCCCGCAGCUCCAAGAGAAUUAACAAUACAUCAAAUACAAGCGUCUGAUGCAGGAAACUACAGCUGCUACCCAGCAGCAAUAAGAUGGACAUUAACAAUAACAGAAAACACAACCAGACCAGAAUCACUCAAACAAAUGCCGCUGUACAUCAUCUUCUCAUGUUCUGGAGUCAUUAUGAUCUGUCUGAUCAUAACCAUCUGCGUUCACAGUAAACUGAAGCAGAUGAAGACAAACUCUGAUCUCUGUGAAACAGACCAGGAGGCAGAAAGUUUAUUUACCACAGAACAGGUGAAGAUGAUCUCUGACUGUGACAAACACACAGUAACAGCCUGUGUCUACAGGCUUCAUACAGUUUCAUAAACGUCUUUUCUUCUCAAGACAGUGGUGUGUGUGUGUGUCUGACACUCAUCAGAUCAUGAACAGGAAGAUGUCUGUCAGUCUUUUUUGUGGAUUAGAGAAUGAAACUGUCCCAAGAGUAUGUCGCAGAGGAUCUUUAUUUACACAUUUUCAGAAAGAGUAAUACUUUUUACACUUGGAAAAUUUAAUAUUUAAAAAUUUAACAUGCCUAACUAGAUACUAAAUUAUUCACAACAACACCUUCAAAUACCUUCAGAGACUAUGUCCUCGAUACAUGAUAUCUGUCAUUGUGUUGGACAUCUGGAUGAAGAUCUUAUUUUUUUCCCUUUUCCUUCACCUCAUGAGUCUGACACUGAAACCUUUAAAAAAUGGUGUUUGUCACAAUAUGAAAAUAAGUAUGUACAGUCAGCAGGUCAUUAUUUCAAAAUAAACCAUAACUGUACUAAUGCACACAGACGUUAUAUGACCACUUGCCAAAUAAAUGUGGACGUGAAACAUUAAUUUGAAUUAAGAUUAUUUUAUUAUCUAAUUUGUAGAUUGGAUUAAAGUUUGAAAAGCUUUCAGGUUGUGAACUAUUUUUAUUUAUUUGCAAUGAAUGUGAAGUGCUCUUGGCCUUUGAGAUACAUUUUGAGCUGUGUGUGGUUAGUUAUUCCGGCCACAGUAUCAUGCUUCCUGCUUUACUUUUCCCAGAGUAUAACAUAACUGCACUAUAUAAAAUGAGUUAAAUGUUAUAAUUUUACAGACUGCAAGUUUUUG